GGAGCAGUGACUGUGUACAACUGCAGACUGAACCACCAGUGGGUUUGCUCCUGUCUCCUCCCCAAGCCCUGCACAGGAGAGGAUGCUGUUGUAUGUCAUUACAACCAUAUUGCACAACUUGUUCAUCCAUUUCCAAAGACGUCUUUAAGAAAGAUGGGCUAUGCUAAACCUGAAGAAGAGAAGACUAAUUUGAGACAAAACAACACACUUGAAAUAUUUGAAGAAUCAUCCGAUGAAUGAGAGAUUAGAUUUCUCUUCAGGUCCAGAAUCUGGGGCAAAUCAUGGAAUAUUGCAAAUAAAGAGCACAGAUGAAGUCAGCAGGAAGCACAGACACGAAAGGCAUUUUUAAAAAGAAGAAAACCAAGGCUCAGAAAAAUUGCCUGCCUCGUCCAACGUCAUACACCAGAAGAACUAGACCUUGGACCUAUGCCCUCUGCCUACAAAUCCAAGAUUCUUUCCCCCAAAGCGUGGUGCCAUUUCUUAGACAAUUGAAAUAAAACACUGUAUAAUGUGGAAGAUUAUGCA
rnacentral:lncRNA from 1 species